GCAGGUCCCAAGGGUAUGGCUGUUCGCCAUUUAAAGAGGUACGCGAGCUGGGUUUAGAACGUCGUGAGACAGUUCGGUCCCUAUCUACCGUGGGCGCUGGAAAUUUGAGAGGAUCUGCUCCUAGUACGAGAGGACCAGAGUGGACGAACCUCUGGUGUACCGGUUGUGACGCCAGUCGCAUCGCCGGGUAGCUAUGUUCGGAAGGGAUAACCGCUGAAAGCAUCUAAGCGGGAAGCCUACCUCAAGAUAAGAUUUCCCUAGGAAUUUAUUCCUCUAAAGAGCCGUUCGAGACUAGGACGUUGAUAGGUUGGAUGUGGAAGCAUAGUGAUAUGUGAAGCUGACCAAUACUAAUUGCUCGUGAGGCUUGACUAUACAACACCCAAGCAGUUG
rnacentral:rRNA from 1 species